CUUUUCUGGUUUGCCAGCGGCACACAUCAUUCUUGGUGCUCUGAAUGGCCAACAACUUCCAGUUUUCUUGGCCAGUCUAGUGCCUAUGGAUGUGAUUCCUUCAUUUCAUCUCUCUUUUGUGUGUGUGUGUGCUAAUGCAUUGCCACCAAGGAAACAUGUUAGAAAGACACAUGUCCGUAAAAAGACUCUCCUUAGCUUAAGAUUUUUGUUCCGAUUCUCACUUUCGUUAGGAGAGCUCGGUUUUCAGUGUCUCAGUCCCCUCCUCCCCCCGCCCCACCUCCUCACUUUUCUUUUUAAAAAUGGAAAGGCUUUUCUUUCCUGUGGGCCAAAAAGACGUUUCCGUAAAAGGAACCGCAUCAGGCUCUUUCUUCCCUCUCUCCCUGGUGAGUUGAAAUGAGUAGAUGCUCGUGGGUUGGGCUCCUGUUAGAAUCGCUGGCUCCAGGGUUCUUGCUAAAGAGGAAAGACUUCUGUUGCCCCACCACGGCGAGGUCAGGGCAGUGACAACAAAUGAUUUAACUUCUCGAAACCUCGUGGUGCCUUUUUUUGUGGUGCUUCUCGUGUUUCUCCAGACAAGGCAGCCACUUGCAGCAAACGGCAGUGUCAGGGCCUCUCCUUGGAAUUGCGUGCCAGUGCAGUAAAAGACUUAAUGUAUACAUAUAUAAAUAGAUAUAGAGAUAGAGAUAUCACUAUCGUUAAAUAAUUAUAUAAUUGAGGUUCUGAUGCAGCUUUGGUGGGAGUUGAUUACUCCUCUGCAAAAAUAGACACUACUCAACGGGAACUCACAGCUCUGGGGGAGAGUUUUGACUUCUGGGAAGGACGCCAACAAAUGAGCUAGGUUACUUCCAGUGAUGAGUUGUCUUCUCCUUUCUUGUAAAAGUCGCUGUCUCCAUAAACAUGGAACGUUUGCGAAGGGAGCCAAGAGCAGCUUCUUUUUUGUACUUCCUUUGGUGCUGAUAUUUUCAAAAUUUCUUUGUUGCUUUUGCUUCCUCAUCAGUGGCCAAAAGGCUGCUUUUCCAAAAUCUCGACCCACCCAUCAAAGGGGAUGGGGGACUGGGAAUAAAAGGCUAGAGGUUGGGGAUCUCUGACUCUGUGACUUAACCCAGACCGUUUUCUGGGUAUGGCUCCCAGACUCAGUCUCCCCAUCUCAAAUAGACAUCAUAUUUCCUUACCUCACGGGGAAGGGUACCUUCAGAGGAUUCAUCAGUGGCCCUCAAACAUGAAAUCAUGAUUAAUUUGGAGACAGCAACUUGGCAUGUGUUUAAGAUUUAGUUUGUACGUUGCUAUCUUGAAGUUUUGCUUUCUUCCCCUCCUGCUCUUCCAUCUCCACCGAAUUGUAUGUCCUCCCUUCGGCAAUACCUUUGAAAACCGUGUAACUGAUAGACCUCACCUAAAGGGUUGGGUAGUGCUAAUUUCUCCCAAGGGAACAACAUCACUAAUACUGUAUAAGGUGCUAGAAUCAAACCUCAUUUUAUAAACUUUGGUUCUUAGAGAAAAACAAAACAUGCAGAAUUCUUUCUGUGAAGCCUUACUAUAGAUUGUUAUAGCCAAUUGUUUAUCCAAAAAAAAAAAGAAAGAGAGAAUAGAAAAUAAAGAUAAGAUGCAGUGAUUCUGUAUAAAAUGUAACUAAAAAACCUUCACUAUUUCCUAUAUUAAUGUAAACUAUCAUAUAUAUAUAUACACAUAUAUAUAUAUGUUUGAGGCAGAUAGAAAGAAUGAAAAAGCAUAAAGUAUGUUCAUCUUUCUUUUCAUUUUCAGUUGGUUCGCAACUGUUAGUACGUGAGCAAGAGAGGUUUCUGGUGGGAUGGGAUAAGGAAUGCCUAGCAUGAUAUAGGAAAUAAGACUUAUUACUGUCCUGUUCUAUAUGGUAUUAGAAGGAGUUUGGUUGAAUGUGAGGACAGGGAAAUCAAUGAAAACACAGACGUGCUUUCUAACUGUUUGGAGCAUUGAUGUUAUAUUUUGGUGUUGUUUUCUCUUAUUCUAAGGUUUCUCGAUAGCACUGUAAACGUCCGCUGCCUAAGAUGUUAACAAAUCAUGUUUACCUCAAAAAAGCUCAAAGAAAGAGGCGGUUGUUUCCCCCCAUCUCUUAGGAAGUAGUGAACCCCUGAGCAAAACAUGAGGCAUUUCCACAGAAGAUCAGUAAGAGACUAGAACCAUUUCUGGUGCUUUCCUUGAUGCCCCCAUUCUCACCUGCCCCUUCCCUCGCUAAAGAGAGAAAGAUGAGUUUUGACAAGAAAUAGGGUUAGACUGUAGCACAAGCAGAUGAGUAAAUACAGAAACUUUGCCUGGAACAAGUGGUGUGGGGUCCUUUUAAGUACGGCUGUGUAACUCCAGAGUUUAGUGUCCGCAUGCGUGUGUGUGUACUGUAUAUAUGCUUCCAUGGAUGAAAUGUCUGAUGAACAGAGAAAAAUACCGUAAACAGACAUGAACAGAAAAAAAAUAAUCAAAUGCUAUUUUAUCAGACAACGCACUUGUUCACCUUGAUGAGAAGCCACUGUUUUCACAACUAUGCAAACCCUCCCGCCUUCGCCUCCGCGCUCCAUCCCCCGCACAGAUUUUUCUUUUUACCAGAACCACAAUAUCCAACCUCUGGUUCAAGGUGAGCAUGCUACAGUGAUUCUUUUCCUAAAUUUAAGAGCUCCCAAGAACGCUUUCCUUUUCUUUCCUUUUCAAUGAUUCGAUGUAACCCUGUUUGGUUCUGUAAGUGAACUGAUGUGUAUUUUUACAUUUCAGUUAUAUGUUUACAAAAAAGCUUUCCAUCCUCUUAUCUAUUCAAAAUAAUUAUUUUCUUGAUAAAGUCUAACUUUUAUAGGAUGUUUGGGGGAUGUGUUGACUUAAGGCAAGAAAAAAAAUUUGGCUUAAGUGGAACAAUGAGCAUGUGACCUCGGG
ensembl:lncRNA